CCUACGGGAGGCAGCAGUGAGGAAUAUUGGUCAAUGGGCUAAGGCCUGAACCAGCCAAGUCGCGUGAGGGAAGACGGUCCUAUGGAUUGUAAACCUCUUUUGUCGGGGAGCAACGAGGCCACGUGUGGCCGAAGUCAGAGGAACCGAAGAAAAAGCAUCGGCUAACUCCGUGCCAGCAGCCGCGGUAAUACGGAGGAUGCGAGCGUUAUCCGGAUUUAUUGGGUUUAAAGGGUGCGUAGGCGGAACAUUAAGUCAGCGGUAAAAUCGAGGGGCUCAACCCCUUUAAGCCGUUGAAAAUGGUGAUCUGGAGUGGGCGAGAAGUAUGCGGAAUGCGUGGUGUAGCGGUGAAAUGCAUAGAUAUCACGCAGAACUCCGAUUGCGAAGGCAGCAUACCGGCGCCCGACUGACGCUGAGGCACGAAAGCGUGGGGAUCGAACAGGAUUAGAUACCCGAGUAGUC
rnacentral:rRNA from 1 species